rnacentral:rRNA from 1 species
CGAGGGUGCAAGCGUUAUCCGGAUUCACUGGGUUUAAAGGGUGCGUAGGUGGGCAAGUAAGUCAGUGGUGAAAUCUCCGGGCUUAACCCGGAAACUGCCAUUGAUACUAUUUGUCUUGAAUACUGUGGAGGUCAGCGGAAUAUGUCAUGUAGCGGUGAAAUGCUUAGAUAUGACAUAGAACACCAAUUGCGAAGGCAGCUGGCUACACAAAUAUUGACACUGAGGCACGAAAGCGUGGGGAUCAAACAGGAUUAGAUACCCUGGUAGUCCACGCCCUAAACUAUGGAUACUCGACAUUUGCGAUAAACUGCAAGUGUCUGAGCGAAAGCAUUAAGUAUCCCACCUGGGAAGUACGAUCGCAAGAUUG